rnacentral:lncRNA from 1 species
AUUGAAGAAAUGACCUGGGAGUUGGAAACGAAAAUGAAAGCGAGGUAUCUUUACCUUUUCGAAACACCAGGUACGUACGUCAAUUUCGAGGACGAAAUUUCAUAAGGAGGGGAGGUUGUAAGACCCCAAAAUUUUUUUAAAUAAAAAGGAAUUUCCUUUAUUUAUUAUUUUGAAAUAGUAAGGGUGGAUUUGAUUAAUGUGGUUAGUUAUGGGUAAAAUGCGCAAAUAUUUUAAAUAAGCAAGUGGUGAUAUAAUAUUCAUUAUUGUCGGAGAAUAUUCGUUUGGUCGUGGAAUAUUCGUACUGUCGGGGAAUAUUCGUACGACGGCGCAGCCAUGUGUGGGCCCCAUAACGGAAAGCGAUUGGAGGAAGAAAACGACAAAAAUAAGUUGUUUAAAAAUAACGGCGUAGUUGUUACCGUUUACACUGUUGGAAUACC